AAGCACUGAAGAAAGAAGAGACAGUGAUAUAUCUAAUGUAAAGAUCAGAGAGACAACCUUGUGCUUAAAGAUGUUCUCUCUUUGAAGUGCUGUCCAGUCCAGCUGCGCUCCUUCAAAGAGAAGAAGGAGCUUUAAGAAGGGAGAAUCCCAGAAUCUGGAAGUUGCUCAUCAAAUCACAGUAUCUCUAGCAUUGGUGCAUAUGUGAUAUGGAUAACUUGGUUCAAGAACUUGGCUUUGAGCUUUGGCAGUAAUCUUAGCCAAUCCAUGAUUUUCUGGAGAUAGUCCCGAAUGAUUUCAUACUUACGUCUGGAACAGGAUUGGGAGCAUCGAAAUUCUGUUCUCCCUUCAUUGAACAUCGGAAAACCAUAAAUGCCUACACCUUUAACAUUCAGCUAACUGAAAUAUGACAUUUCUAAGCAAGAUAUAUCC